UACGAAGGGGGCUAGCGUUGCUCGGAAUGACUGGGCGUAAAGGGCGCGUAGGCGGUUUGGACAGUCAGGCGUGAAAUUCCUGGGCUUAACCUGGGGGCUGCGCUUGAUACAUCCAGACUUGAGUGGGGAAGAGGGUCGUGGAAUUCCCAGUGUAGAGGUGAAAUUCGCAGAUAUCGGGAAGAACACCCGUGGCGAAGGCGGUUCUCUGGGACGGUACUGACGCUGAGACGCGAAAGCGUGGGGAGCGAACAGG
rnacentral:rRNA from 1 species